rnacentral:miRNA from 1 species
GUCGGUCGGUCUCGGUCAGUCGAGUCUCGGUCGGUCGGUCUCGGUCGGUCGGUCGGUCGAUCGGUCUAUCAUCUAUCUAUGU